AGAUUUUGGUUGAAUCUGCCUCAAGUGUUAUUUUGAAGAUGAUAUUAUCAUUUGACCUUGCUUUUGCUUUGAUUCCGCUCCUAAAGUUCAGUAGCAGCAAAGUGACUAGCAGCACAAGCAUUGAAGAGAGAUUGCAGGGAUUCCAAGGGAAGGGGACCAGGGGAUGAAAAAUAUGAUUAAAGAGAGUUCUUGAGGAGUUUGUCACAUGCUCAGGGAAGUGGAAGAUUUUGCACGAAGGUUAAAUUCUGCUUGGCCUGAAAGGAUGCAAAUUUGAUCUUUGGCCCAACACAGAAGACUAGUAACAAUUUCUAUGAAUAGCAAUGGUUCAACGCAGUUGUAUAUAGGUAUGUUCUAUCUAUCUUCUCAAUAUUCGCGGUGAACCCUACUUGCUGCCUUGUUUUCUAUCAGAAGCAUCAUUAAAUUUUGUUGACAUGCACAUGACUGGAAUCAACUAGUUAUAAGUUACUUCAUCACUCUCAUGCAUUUCAUUCAUCACAUACAACACUCUCUCCAAAGUUCAAAUUAAGACUGAGGGGUGAGAAAGAGACAAUUAAUAUGGGUGCCGGUCUACUUGCAAUUGGUUCUUGUGCAAUUGGUCUAUGCAGUGAUGAACAUUACUUAAAUGCUUGCAAUAGAAUCUGGAAUGAGCCCUCUUGUCCUUGUUGCUUAUCGACAACUCUUUGCUACUGUGUCCAUUGCUCCCUUUGCUUAUUGGCUCGAGUGGUAAUUAUAUAUAUAUAUACCCUAUCUGGUUUUGUUUUAUUUUCAUAUAUAUAAACAAUGCAUGCAUGAAAGGCUUUGAUGAACUUUGAACCACCUAUAACAUUCUCACUGUGAGUGUCACCGUCGAUAUCCCUUUUCUUUUGGUUGAUGCAUGAUUGUGUUAUUUAUCCUUUAAAUGUAUUUAUAUAUGUUUGCUGUAUAUAAAUGUAGCUUUGUUUUUGAAAUUUGAAUGGU